UCCCAGCACCUGGUGUUUCCUCUUGCUGCAAGUUGGUCCCUGGCUGCCCGUGAGCAGAGGGUGGCCAGAGGAAGAAGAGCUGGCAAAGGAGGGCCACAGGGAACCCAGAGGGCACAGAGACAAAAGCCAAUGUGUGGGUCUGGAGACAGACAGUUCUGAUGCCAGUCCACCUAGCAGAUUCCUGUGCCCAUGCACACAGGCCACGGGGCUCCACAGGCAGAUAGCAGAAUGCGGCAAUGUCGAGGAUGUCACUCUGGGAUUAGAUUACAAAAGACUCAGGACUCUCCCUUUUGCUAGCUUUGAUGAAGCAAACUGAUGUGUUGGGGAGGCUCAUGUGCCAAAGAACUGAGGGUGGCCUCAGUCCAACAGUCCACAGGAACUAUGUCCUGCCAUCGACCACAUGAAUGAGCUUGGAAGGGGACCCCACCGGUGGAGCUUUCCGAUGAGACCACAGCCCCAGCCAACACCUUGACUGCAGCUUCACAAGAGACCUCAAGCAGAGGACCUAGCUGAUGCUCGAAUUCCUGACCCACAGAAACUGUGAGAUCACAAAUCUGUGCUGUUUUGAGCUGCUAAGUGUGUGAUAAUUUGUUGUGCAGCAGUUGAUAACUAAUGCACCUCCAAAACUUCGUGA